rnacentral:lncRNA from 1 species
AGCAGCCCUCCCAGCUUCUCACAGGGGUGGCCAGGUCACCAGCCGGCUUAGCUGGAAGUCUGGCUUCUCUGGUGUGAGGUUCUGUGGGAGACAUUCCUGAGUGUGACUCAAUGGUCAACACCACCACCACCACCACCACCCCCCCCGCAGAUCGGAGAUGGAGACGGAGACCUGAACUGCCAAGUCACAGCCUUAAGGAGACAGAAGACCUACCUCCUCCAGAAGGAGAGCAGAGGGCUUGUUUUCUCACUGUAGGAAUGCUAACUCCCUAGGAAGGAAAACCAAGGCCCCUGGGAUUCUUUCCAUCCUCACUGCUUGCAUAGUACUCCCUGGUACACAGACUUCUCACCAGUUUG